CUAUAAAUAUAACAAGUAGGAUAUACAAAUUCGUCUCACGAGAAACAAAGACCAAAAUUAGAAAAUAAAAUCCUUCUUACAUGGCUUCUCGUUUCGAUCAAGCUCUUCUUUUGGGAAUUAUAUUUGUUGCAUUUGUUCUCACUUCAGGACCCGCAACAGUUGCACAAGACUGUGGUCCACUGAAAUGCAUAAUAGGCCAUAAUGAUUUUUGUAUGCAAUGUUGUAGGAGAGAAGGGUUUGGGUCUGGCAUCUGUAAGAAUGAUGGGAAAUAUACUCGCUGUUCUUGUACGUAGUGUAAAUUUAUAAAAUUAUAAUAAAAUGGGUGUUUGAUCUAAA